rnacentral:rRNA from 1 species
UACGAAGGGGGCUAGCGUUGCUCGGAAUCACUGGGCGUAAAGGGUGCGUAGGCGGGUCUUUAAGUCAGGGGUGAAAUCCUGGAGCUCAACUCCAGAACUGCCUUUGAUACUGAAGAUCUUGAGUUCGGGAGAGGUGAGUGGAACUGCGAGUGUAGAGGUGAAAUUCGUAGAUAUUCGCAAGAACACCGGUGGCGAAGGCGGCCCGCUGGGCUGUUGCUGACGCUGAGGCGCGACAGCGUGGGGAGCAAACAGG